rnacentral:rRNA from 1 species
UACGUAGGGGCAAGCGUUGUCCGGAAUUACUGGGCGUAAAGGGUGCGUAGGCGGCCUAAUAAGUCAGAUGUGAAAUACCGAGGCUCAACCUCGGAGGUGCAUUUGAAACUGUUGGGCUUGAGUGCAGGAGAGGAAAGUGGAAUUCCUAGUGUAGCGGUGAAAUGCGUAGAGAUAUGGAGGAACACCAGUGGCGAAGGCGGCUUCCUGGUCUGUAACUGACACUGAGGCGCGAAAGCGUGGGGAGCAAACAGGAUUAGAUACCCGGGUAGUCCCU